rnacentral:tRNA from 1 species
GCCGGUAUAGCUCAGAUGGAAGAGCAACUGACUUGUAAUCAGUAGGUCAAAGGUUCAACUCCUUUUGCCGGCA